rnacentral:pre_miRNA from 1 species
UCUGGUUAGUUUUGCUGGUUUGCAUUCAGCUGUAACACCACUGUUGCUGUGCAAAUCCAUGCAAAACUGACUAUAGC